UUCCUUUUUCAAUGAAAAUAUUCCUUGGCUAUUUUUUGAAAAAACAUAUUUAUCUAAUAAAAAAUAAAUUUAUUAUUAAAAAAAAUAAAAUAAAAAAUAAAAAACAUAUAUAUACUUUCAAGUAGAAUUUGCAUUCAGUCUAACAAAACAUGAACAAAGCUUUGAAGGAAUUUUUUUUUUUUUGGAGUUGCAUUUGGUUGAAAGAUUAGAUGGGAGAAGACUGACAUGUUGACGGUGCAGAGCCUUCCUGCCCGAGAACCAGUGCAUCUGCUUCCGUUAUUCGUUUGAACUGUUUUAUGUCCACCCGUCAUUUCCUGUAAUAUUCUUCAUAUGGGCAUUACACGCCUAGAAAAGAGUAAUGUCAUCAAGAGCCUUAAAACUGUUUUCUUAGUAAUUCCACCUCUAGUGGCCUAAACAACGUGAACACGAGUUUGUGCGUAAAAGAUUUCAGCUACAACGUUGAACCUGGAACGGUCCAAACGUUAGAAACACUUAAAAUGAACAGUUACAGGGGGUUGGGGGGUGGGGGCAGGAGGGUGGUGGAUAAAUAACUUCCGAGACAGCCACAAGCUGAACUAUUAGGCAGCCCUUAAAAAGAUACUCCUGGAAAUCAGCUCAGCUUGAACGCCGCGUGGAAAAUCGCGAGUGAACGUGUUGCACGGACAGUUUUAUCUUUUUUUUUUUUUUUUCCUUUUUUUGGCAGGCAUAGCUCUGUACGCCUGGUAGAGAGCGCAGAGGAUGAGCCCGGAAAGAUGCAGCUCAGAGGAUGAGCCCGGAAAGAUGCGUUCGAUUGUAGGAUACGGACCACACACCCGUCUCCACAUUGCCUGGACAGGAGCGUUGGCUUCAGAUCCCUUGCACUUUCUACUCCCAGAGAUGAGACCUUAAGUGUCCAGCUCCACGGACCCCAUGCUUGGCCUCUGCUCUGACCGUGCUAUGUUGCGCCAGGAAGGACAGGGCACUGGGGCAUCCGCGGGUUCUUUGUUCCCAGCUUGGCUGG
rnacentral:lncRNA from 1 species